AAAUUCUUGGGUACUGCCAUAGUUGGGCUGGUUGCUGUGAGUAGUUCAGUUGAAAUGCCUAAGGCUGAUCUCUGGGUCAUUUUUGCUAUACUUUCCACUGUGAUUGGUUACUUUGCCAAGACAUACUUCACGUUUCAGCAAAACUUGGCUGCAUAUCAGAACUUAAUUACACAGUCCAUGUACGACAAGCAGUUAGAUAGUGGAAGGGGUACUCUUCUGCACCUGUGUGAUGAUGUGAUUCAACAGGAAGUCAAAGAGGUUCUUAUCUCAUUCUUCAUAUUGAUGGAACAGGGCAAGGCUACAAUGCAGGAUUUGGAUCUGCGGUGUGAGGAAUUAAUUCAAGAAGAGUUUGGAGAGAGCUGUAAUUUUGAUGUGGAUGAUGCAGUUCAGAAGUUAGAGAAGUUGGGCAUUGUUGCUCGGGAUACUCUUGGACGGUAUUAUUGUGUUGGCCUAAAACGUGCCAAUGAGAUUAUUGGCACCACUACUGAAGAGCUUGUCCUCAAGGCAAAACAGGGUGUUAGCACUUGAUGUUCUCUCGGGAAGGUUUGCUUACCGUCAACAGUUAUCUGUAGUUGCAGCUGCGCCUGUGAGCACCGGUAGAUGUCUGAUGCGGUGGGUUACCUGAUUGCUUCUCAUAAUAUUUUCU
rnacentral:misc_RNA from 1 species